rnacentral:lncRNA from 1 species
GUUUAUUUUGUGGAGUGCUACGGAAACGACCUUAUUCUUAAAACCUCUUCCAAACAGCAGGUGGCGGUACGGAGCUGCAGGCGAGUCUGUUCCUCGGUCUGUCUACAGAGGAAGAAAUAGACAAUCAGCUGUUCAAACCUGGUGGUUCAAACAGAGAGCGGAGCUAUGAACGAACAGAAAUGGAUUCAGGCAAUAACUCGGUUGCAGGCUCAGUGUCGUGGUUAUGUGAUGUGGAAAGGACUGAGUUUGGUUCGGACUCAGUUUGAAGAGACAGUGCGAGAGAUUGAUGGAGGAUUGGAUCACCUGCAGUGGAGAGGAAACAUAAUUCCCAAACCUCACUUCACUGACACUGAAAGCCUAUUGCUGCAGUAUGAACGCUCCAGGUUUCAGUCCCAUGACCAUCUGGAGAAUCAGGGCAGUGAGAAAUCUCUCCCACCGCCUGAAUCCAGGUACCAGAGAGAGACGAAGCUGCUGAAACAGCCAGCAGAGAUACUUCCACACCCUGUGGAUGGUAUUGUGGACAAGAGAGGAGAGAAUGUGGUCAUACAAAACCUGAUGGAUGAUUCGACUACACUCUGCAGUACCGUGAAUUCAGAUGUCAGCCACAGCAGCUUAUUUCAGACAGGACCAAAUUUGCAUUCAGUUUUUAAAGACACAGAACACACUCUUGACUCUCUGAAGCAGCAGCAGAGCACUUUAGCUAUGGAGCUGCUGUGGAUCCAGCAAGCCAUCAGUAGCAGAAAGAAAGUGAGAAAAGUUUGGAAUUUUUAACAUUAAUGUUUAUUUGUGUGUGUGUGUGUGUGUGUGUGUGUUAGUCUAUAAAAUGAUUCUGCUCUGCUUCUUUUGUAGUAUUUUAACCUCAAACAGAGAAUGGAUGUGCCACACUGAUACUGGACCAGUUCUGAAGUGGGCCAACAUUUUAAGAGAUGUUUUCUCAUUAUUUCUGUAUUAUUGUAUAAUUUACAGCACAGAAUGUUUGAGAAUUGUCAUAAAUUAUAUUUAUUUAUGAGCUUCUUUUGUCUAUAAACGGGUUUGUGUUAAAGAAGAUUUUUAUUUUUGUAAAAAUGGCAUUUCAGAAAUAAAUAUAAUAUGCAAGUGAUGGAGAUGGAAGAGAGACUAAUUUUUCUGUAUAACACAAAGCCAGUACAGUUCAAUCCUAGAUGGACGUCAAAGGCUCCCACAUCCUUAUCUUACAGUUCGGUCAAUGUAGUGAAAUAGCUAUUUAAUUACUGACUUGUAUUUAGACUGUGUAACCACAUGAGAACUCAUAUAUCACUCGAUAUGAUGUUGCCUGCCCUGG